rnacentral:rRNA from 1 species
UAGGGAGCAAGCGUUGUUCGGAUUUACUGGGYGUAAAGGGCGYGUAGGCGGCGCGGUAAGUCACYUGUGAAAUCUCUGAGCUUAACUCAGAACGGCCAAGUGAUAMUGCUGUGCUAGAGUGCGGAAGAGGCAACCGGAAUUCUUGGUGUAGCGGUGAAAUGCGUAGAUAUCAAGAGGAACACCUGAGGMGARGGCGGGUUGCUGGGCCGACACUGACGCUGAUGCGCGAAAGCCAGGGGAGCAAACGGGAUUAGAUACCCCGGUAGUCCUGGCCSUAAACGAUGAAUACUUGGUGUCUGGAGUUUCAAUGCUCCGGG